rnacentral:lncRNA from 1 species
UUAAUUAUUUUUGAAUUUUUUGAAACUUUUAAUAUGUUUUCUGGGUUUUUACUUCGCAUGCCCUUCUGCCUCGCUAUAAUCAAGACACAUAGGAGCGCCCACAUUUAUGUUCAUCCUCCUUGUUUCCGCUGUACCACGGCACAAUGUUAGCGACGAAGGUGAGUUAAGGUUUCUAUCACAUUACGUCCGCUGGGAUUUGCUAGAGCAUCUCCAAUAGCGAAGACGGUGAGUUAAGUUCCUGUCACAAAAAGAAAAAAAAUAUCCAACAAAUCUAAUGACAUUAUUUCGAUGAAACAAGCCAAAACGUCAGAUUAGUUAAAGCCAAGAGCGUCGAGUUUAUUAAAUGGAGGGGCAUCCUAGUUAUGUUUUCCAACAGUUUUUUAAUUGCUCAAGAGGACCGGCCCUAGAUAUAAUAAAAGAACUUUGAUGCACAAAUGUCACUACAGAUUACCAGAUCUGGUGCCUCUCUCAGCAACCACCGGCCAUGUCGAGCUCCACGAGAUCAGAUGCCUCUCAAGCCAAACAUGACCCGACCAUCAGCACUACCUUGUGCCUCAAAGGCCAUCGCCCCAUAUUGUAUUCCUCAAGCUAGUUCGCUGCCUAGCCGCAAGUUGUCGUGCAACCGUGUGCUUAUUAGUUCAAUGGAGAGAUUGAAAGAGGGUCACUCUUAAUGUGGGGUGAUAGAAAUGCAGGGGUAAACUUUAGUGCAAGUAAUGCGCAUGGUCUUCGUCUCUCAGUCCAUCACUGGUAUUUUGCAUAUGGCAAGAACAUUUCGUGCCUCACUUUAAAUAACCGCUUUCCUUUGGCAACUGCUAUUGUCCCUCUGCUUCCCGUGCAUGUUGUGGGUCUACAAUAGGAGAGGCAACCGUAAGGAAAGUCUCCAUGGAAGGUGUCAUCUGGAACAGUGGCAAACCGCAACACGGUAAUACUGCACUGAGUGAGGAAAUUGGAAGGAAGGCCUGGGCCAAGAAUAUCUUUCCGCACACCUCUCAUUCCAAACAUACACGUGUCUAAUAUACCAAAAUAGUACUGCUGGUUGGGUAUUUGAUAGCCAUUUUCUUUGGUAGUCCCUCCGGAUGGGAAUAUAAGUGGGGCACGGGAAUUUUAGUCAUCAGUUUAACUAGCUGGGUAAAAGAUGCUAGGGUGGAUAAGAGGGUAUACAAGACAAUACAUGUGAAGGAGAUGAGUCGGCCAUAGGCAAUCGGCUUUGUAAGUGUGGAGCUGCAAAAUGGUUGGUGUGCAUGUUAAUUAUCUUUGAUUCCUGAAAAUAUAAUAUUUUAGAAAUUCGAAAUGUG